rnacentral:rRNA from 1 species
UACGGAGGGUGCGAGCGUUGUCCGGAAUCAUUGGGCGUAAAGGGCGCGUAGGUGGCCCGGUCAGCGUGCGGUGAAAGCUCGGGGCUCAACCCCGAGUCGGCCGUGCGAACUGCUGGGCUCGAGCACUGUAGAGGCAGGCGGAAUUCCGGGUGUAGCGGUGGAAUGCGUAGAGAUCCGGAGGAACACCGGUGGCGAAGGCGGUGAUCUGGGCCGACACUGACGCUGUAGAGCGAAAGCGUGGGGAGCGAACAGG